GUAGGUGAACCUGCGGAAGGAUCAUUAACACGUAUCCAACGUUAAAACAACCCUGUGAAUUUUCAGACCCGAUCUUGCAAAAGCAAGCACGGUGAGGCAUGUGACCUGGCAUCUCCAAGCAAUCAAUUCUCUGUCAGUGGGCGUUGGUUGUGCAAGGAUGACGCGGUAAACGAUCGUUGGAGGCCAACACGGCCGGCGACCGGGUCAGCGAGCUCUGCUCCCCUAAAAAACCCCUUAACAUUAAAAAAUC
rnacentral:misc_RNA from 1 species